rnacentral:rRNA from 1 species
AGUGGCGGACGGGUGAGUAACAUGUAGGGAAUCUACCCUGGGGAUGGGGACAACAGUUGGAAACGGCUGCUAAAACCCGAUACGAGUGCAGUUGAGAUACAGUACUUAAAAACUCCGGUGCCCUCUGGGAUGAGCCUGCACCUGAUUAGCUAGUUGGUGGUGUAAUGGACUACCAAGGCGACGAUCAGUAGCUGGUUUGAGAGGAUGAUCAGCCACAAUGGGACUGAGACACGGCCCAUACUCCUACGGGAGGCAGCAGUAGGGAAUUUUGCGCAAUGGGGGAAACCCUGACGCAGCAACGCCGCGUGGACGAAGAAGCCCUUCGGGGUGUAAAGUUCUGUCAGUGGGGACGAAUGAAUGACGGUACCCACAGAGGAAGCACCGGCUAACUCCGUGCCAGCAGCCGCGGUAAUACGGAGGGUGCAAGCGUUGUCCGGAAUCAUUGGGCGUAAAGCGUUCGUAGGCGGCAUAUCAAGUCUGGUGUUAAAGGCAAAGGCUCAACUUUUGUAGGGCACUGGAUACUGGUAAGCUGGAAUGCGGUAGAGGUUAAGGGAAUUCCUGGUGUAGCGGUGAAAUGCGUAGAUAUCAGGAGGAACAUCGGUGGCGUAAGCGCUUAACUGGGCCGUAAUUGACGCUGAGGAACGAAAGCCAGGGUAGCAAACGGGAUUAGAUACCCCGGUAGUCCUGGCCGUAAACGAUGGAUACUAGGUGUUGCGGGUAUCGACCCCUGCAGUGCCGAAGCCAACGCGAUAAGUAUCCCGCCUGGGGAGUACGCACGCAAGUGUGAAACUCAAAGGAAUUGACGGGGACCCGCACAAGCGGUGGAACAUGUGGUUUAAUUCGAAGCAACGCGAAGAACCUUACCAGGGCUUGACAUCUAGCUAAACCCGGAUGAAAGUUUGGGGAGCCAGCAAUGGAGAGCUAAGACAGGUGGUGCACGGUUGUCGUCAGCUCGUGUCGUGAGAUGUUGGGUUAAGUCCCGCAACGAGCGCAACCCACGUUACUAGUUGGUGUUAUGUUAAACUAGAGCUCUCUAGUGAGACUGCCGGUGAUAAACCGGAGGAAGGUGUGGACGACGUCAAAUCAUCAUGCCCCUUAUGCCCUGGGCUACACACGUGUUACAAUGGGUAGGACAAAGAGAAGCGAACUUGCGAGAGAGAGCAAAACUCACAAACCUACUCUCAGUUCGGAUCGUAGUCUGCAACUCGACUACGUGAAGUCGGAAUCGCUAGUAAACGCAGAUCAGCACGCUGCGUUGAAUACGUUCCCGGGCCUUGUACACACCGCCCGUCACACCACGAAAGUUGGUAACACCCGAAG